rnacentral:rRNA from 1 species
UGGGGAAUUUUGGACAAUGGGCGAAAGCCUGAUCCAGCAAUGCCGCGUGUGUGAAGAAGGCCUUCGGGUUGUAAAGCACUUUUGUCCGGAAAGAAAUCCUUGGCUCUAAUACAGUCAGGGGAUGACGGUACCGGAAGAAUAAGCACCGGCUAACUACGUGCCAGCAGCCGCGGUAAUACGUAGGGUGCAAGCGUUAAUCGGAAUUACUGGGCGUAAAGCGUGCGCAGGCGGUUUGCUAAGACCGAUGUGAAAUCCCCGGGCUCAACCUGGGAACUGCAUUGGUGACUGGCAGGCUAGAGUAUGGCAGAGGGGGUAGAAUUCCACGUGUAGCAGUGAAAUGCGUAGAGAUGUGGAGGAAUACCGAUGGCGAAGGCAGCCCCCUGGGCCAAUACUGACGCUCAUGCACGAAAGCGUGGGGAGCAAACAGGAUUAGAUACCCUGGUAGUCCACGCCCUAAACGAUGUCAACUAGUUGUUGGGGAUUCAUUUCCUUAGUAACGUAGCUAACGCGUGAAGUUGACCGCCUGGGGAGUACGGUCGCAAGAUUAAAACUCAAAUGAAUUGACGGGGUCAUAGCUGUUUCCU